AUGUACUCGCUUUGUUCAUUUAAUCCAGUUUAUUUUUUAUGUAUUCAUAUAAAAAACUGGAACUUUUCCUCAGACAGAUGCUUGUUCAAAGUGCAGGAGGUUUUUGUACGGCCACUUAACGUGUUUGUAUCACUGUGGUGGACUUUCGGUGGAGGAACCAAACUCGUCAUUGACUUGGGAGCAACACGGCCCUCUCUGACCGUCCUCCCCCCCUCCUCAAAGGAGCUGCAGCAGGGCACAGCCACACUGGUGUGUCUGGCCAGCGGGGGCUUCCCCUCUUCCUGGAGGCUGGGCUGGACGGUGGGAGGCAGCAGCAGCUCCUCAGGAGCGUCACACAGCCUGGAGGUCAUGGGGGGAGACGGCCGCUACAGCUGGAGCAGCACCCUGAGCCUCUCUGCAGACCAGUGGAGGAAGGCGGGCUCAGUGAGCUGUGAGGCCAGUCUGAGUGGACAGAGUCCUGUCACUCAAAGUCUGGACCCUGGGAACUGCUCCUCAGAGUAGAGCUCCAGAAACACUUCCUGUCUGUUCUCAUGUUUCUGCAGCUUCACAGCUUUCUGCUCAGUGUUUGAGUGUGCAGGUUGUUUUAUCUUCUGCAUGUUCUUCUUUCUGCUUUCACUCUUUAAAUAAAAGUUAAAACAUUUCA